rnacentral:misc_RNA from 1 species
CAUAAAACAAAAUUUCAGUACCCUUCUCUUUUGAAAAUUAAAUAACAAAAUAAAAACGGAGGGUCAGCUUCCGUUCUCGGCCCACUGGUCAUCUACACGGUCCGGUGCACGAGCCAACGCGCAAUUUCCCAGAGGAUAAUUUAGUAAUUUAUCAGCAUCACAUCCUUCUUCCUUUACUUUGAAGCGUAAUCCAAAUCAGUCAAUCAGCGAUCGAAUUUAAAUACACAAAUCCCAGAAUUUGUGAUCUUUUCUAAUUCACACAAGACUGAAAACCCUCGAAUCGAAGUUUUUGUUGAUUUCCAGCCAUGGGUAACACAGAGAAAUUGUUGAAUCAGAUCAUGGACCUCAAGUUCACGUCGAAAUCGC